rnacentral:lncRNA from 1 species
UAAAAAUAUUAAUUUAUUAGAAUGUUAGGUGUAUGUAUUUAGUAUAGAUUCUUUUAAUAAUAUAAUAAUAUUUUAAAUUAAAAAAUAAAGUAAAAAUGGUUAAAAUAUGAACAUUAUUAGCAGCAAAGAACAGUGAAUAUAAGUGUUUUACUGUGACAGUGAAGGUGGAGUUUGGAGUCUAGAGGUUGUUGAGGACGAUGUUGGCGAGAUUCAAACCUUCACAUGUGGUGUCAUCAUCAGAGAUCUUGGAAGAAAAAGACCAAGAGAACCCUGAGGUGGCAGAGAACCCAACGCUCACCCACUCCGGAAGAAGGCUCUCGAGCUCCACUCUCUGAGAGACGAUGUAGUUCGUUGGCUGAGAAGGGUAAACCAGAGAAGCCACCAAGAGCUUCGUGGAGGACUCAUAGGUGAUCUGAACCUCCGCGUUUUCUCCGUUGACCAAUUCCCACGGCGUCGUUUUCAUAGACUCGAUGGAGUUCACGUCGAUGCCAAUAUGACGGCCUUCGGGGUCCCACUCCUGGUUGACGAAGGUGUCGAACUCCACAGCCACAGUAUGGGCUUUGCUGUUGUAUUUGUCGCUGUCGAAAAGACCUAGAAAACCGCCUUGCUUUGUUGGGAACGAGAGCAAAGCCAAGGCCAUCGGCGGCUUUUGCUUUGUUGGGAGCGUGGAUAUUGAAUUUGAAGUUUGUGGUGAAGCUGGCGACUUUUCCGGUGGCGCUGUCUUAGAUUUGGAUGGGGGCGGAGUAGAAGGCGCGGCCCAGAGAGGCCACCGUGGGUUCUCCGUUGCUAUUAACAUUGGUUAGUCGUAACUGGCCGGAGGAUGAGACGGAGGCAUCGCCUUGGAGGAUAAGGUUGGUUUCGUUGAACCUAUCGAAGCUGAAGGAGGUUUCGCUGGCUGAGUUUGCGUGGCUGAGAAGCACAAGGAAGAGGCUAGGUUGAGUAAGUUGGAGGAAGCCAUGUAUGCAUUCAUGCAUUAACCAUCACUCUCUUCUCUAUUUAUACAACAACAAAUGCAAAAUCUUUCCAACUUUUUUAUUUCAUUCUAUUAUUAAAUACGUGUUUUCGAAUGAUUAACUUUUUUCUUUUAUAAUAUUAUUUGAGAGAGAAAUAAGAAUAUUAAAAUAAGAAUUAAGCAACGAUUGAUUUUACAACGAUUCAACGUUUUGCUACGAUUCUUAAUUACAAUGUGUCGAUAACUCUUUUUAAGUAUUUGGGUAUGCUGGUAGGGGGUGUCAUUGGAGAGGUGCUUUUUGAGCGGACAAAAAUUCCAAAAAUCCACCAUUUAUUAUUAAUCUUUUUUAUUAUUUAGGUAUUUUUCAGGUAUUUUAAGGUUUUAGUUCUCACAGUUACCCUAAUUAGAAAAUUCUAAUUUUUUUUUCAUGAUUUUUUAGUUAUAAAUUAGUGAUAUAUCAAAACCCUAUAAAUUAGUGAUAAUUCAUAUUUUUCGUGAAGGGAAUGCGUGUGCUAAUAAGUUGGCUAAUUUAGGAUUUAUUCAUAGAGAAUCAUUUCAUUGGUAUAAUAGACUCCCAGCUAGUCUGUUCUUAGAAUUCUUUAUGAAUAGGUAUAAUCUACCUAUUUAUCGUUUUUGUUAACAUAUGGGUUUUGGUCUAGUCCCGUCAUAUUUUUGUAUUUUCUUUCUUUUUUCUUUUUUUUUAAUAAUAUUUUUUUUAUGUGAUGACAAAUGAUUGUUGUUACUUGAGGUGUCAGCUUAGCUGAGAUGUCAAGUUGCAUAGUGAUGCCUAACACGAAAACUUUAUAUAAAAAAAAACCCUAUGGACAUAUAUAUGUCAGAUUUGUUAGAAUUUGCAUAUGGAGAUCAUUGUAAGAGCAUGACUGGAAGCAAAUAAUAAUAUUUAACUUAUUCUUUAUAAUUUUUUAACACUAAUUAAUGUGAAUCCUUUUUCCCGCCAUAGAAUAUGUGAGAAAUGGGCCACGUAUUUCCUUAAUUUCUAUAACUCUAAGAUAAAUAAUCAAUAAUAUAGGAAUUAGAUAGAUAGAUAGGAAUAUAUAUGUUAUUAGUGUUUGUAAUACAUCUUUAUCAAUGUAUAUAAUUUGAUUAUCUGAAUAUAUGUAUCAGGGCUAACUUAGUUUUAAUUGUACAAGUCAAUUUAGAUAGGAUUAACAUUAAACAGAAUGAACUAAACAAAAAAUUCUCAUUUAAAAUGGCGGCUUUUACCAUAACUGCCAUUUUAUAUCUUUCAAGAAGGUAUAAAUGACGACUUUUUAUCAUAACCGUCAUUUUAUAUCUUUAAGGAGGAUCUAAAACGGUGACUUUUUACCAUAACUGUUGUUUUAUAUCUUUUAAAAAGGUCUAAAACGACGACUUUUACCAUAAUUGCUGUUUUAGACUGAAUAUAACACAACGAUUAUAUAAUCUCUGUCUUUGCUUGAAAAGAAUAGACUAUAUGUUGAAAGACAACGCUACAAGAACCGUUGUUUUAAUACUAAAAUGAUCGUCGUGAUUUAAUUUUUUUCAUCAGUAAUUGUAAAGUUUCUUUUUAGAGUGUUGAUAAACAUAUAUCGAUUUGAAAUGAAUAGAGUUAGAAAGUAAAAAAAAAAUACAAGAAAAAUGUUAAAUAAUGUCAUAGAAAUAGAAAUGGAAGAGAAGUGUAAAGAAAUUUAAAUAAAAAUUAGAUGUGAGAGUAAGUUAGUUUAUAAAUUGAUUUGUUUAAUGAUUUAAUAACUGUAAAAAUCAAAUAAAAGUAAAUUAUAGUAAUAUGUACUAAGAUUUAAUGUAAUUACACCCAUGUUUCCUUUUUUUUUCUCUGUUAUACUUUAACUUAUAAUAAUCCUUUCCAUUAUUAUAAACUUUUUUAAAAUUACAUAUUUUUCAAAUUAUGCACUAAUAAUAUAAUAAUACACAUGCUGAAUAAUACGCAGUGUAAAUAUAUGAGCUCCUAUUUUAUUUAUGCUCCCAUUUGUGACAGAUGAAGAUUAUUAGCAGGAAAGAAGAGUGAGAGUGAGUAUAAGCAGGGUUUUACUGUCACAGUGAAGGUGGUUUUUGGAAUCUAGAGGAUCUUGUUGAGGAGGAUGUUGGCGAGAUUCGAAUCUUCAGAUGUGGUGUGACAGGAGAACUUGGAAGAAAAAGACCAAGAGAGCAGGUCGUGCGUUUCACUGGACACGUUAGAUGACCCUGAGGUGGAAGAGAACCCAACGCUCACAUUUAAUAAUAAUAUUAUGUGAUACCUCACAAUUAUUUAUCUUAUUAAUUGAUCAAUUACCAUAAUUAUCCUAUUAUAUUAUUGGUAAUUACUAUUAUCAUAAAUAAUUAGGGUUUCUUCUUGGGUGUAUUAUAAAUAGAGAUUACCAGACAACUAAAGAGACACUCUUAUAUUCUAACAUCACACGGUCGAAACUCAUUCCCUAAAGGGAUUUUCGAGCCUCUCAUCUCUUUGUCUCUCUGCUCACAUAAUUCCAUUUUAAGCGAUACACUCUAAAGGGAAACCCGAUCAAGAUCAUGUCUUCGUCCCUCAGCCAUGCGAUCACGGGUUUACCAAGUAUUAUCUAAUCAUUAUUCUCGUUUCAUUAUAUGAUUGAGGAAUCCUAAUCCAACAUGUGGUAUCAGAGUCAGGUUUAUGUUGUUUAAUCGAUUCUUCUUUUGUUUUCCCUAAAUUUGGAAGAAACGAGGAUUUUGAUUCAACCUAUUGAUUUUCGAUGUUUUUAUUUUGGUAUAUUAUUGAACCACUUAUUUUCGAAAAUCCACCUUGAUAUCAUAAAAUAAAUUUUAAUUUUUUCGAGAUCCAUAAUUAUUUUAAGAUUUUGAAAAUUAAAAUUUAAUAUUAAUGUUAUGUGUUCUUCAUAAUUUUCGUGAGUAUUCCCUUAUUUGGAAUGGAAUUAAUUUUGAUUAUAUGUUCAUCAUCAUUAUUUGUUGUUCGUAUGAAUUUUUGAAAAUUAUGAAUAAAGAAUUUUCAAAAAUUAAUUAUUCCCUUAAUUAGGAAAUUUUGAAAAUAAUAUUUUUCCUUAAUUCAAAUUUUCGAAAUACAAUUGAUUCCCUUAAUUAGGAAUGGAUUUGAUUUGAUUUGAUUGUGUUUUUCUAAAAAAAUAAAUAAAAAUUGAUAUCUUAGUCUCCACGUUUUUCCUUAUUUAGGAUAGUAUAUUCUUGCCUUAUUAAUUUUCGGGUAUUAUUAUUAUUAUUACUAUUUUCGAAAAUAGCAGUCGUGUCAAACUUGGAAACAUAUCAAUCUAAUUAAAAUUUUGAAGACCAAAUCUAAAAUCAAAUCCUUAAUAUUCCGCUACUCACUUAUCGAGUUUACGAGUAACAUAUUUACGCGUUUCCUUUUAUUUAUCGAAUUAAAUAUGGUAAAUCUCAUGAUACCGUAAUUAUGUUUUAAAAAAAAUACUUAUUUUGUUAAACUCUUAAAACAAAAAUAUUAAGUUUGACAAAAUUAAAAUUAAAUUUUUUGCUUAAACUUAAUAACAGGAGUCUCCCUUCUGUCCAACGAUGAUGGGUUAUGUCUUGUUAUUUUAGUCUAAUUAAGCACCUUCACUUACUUGUGAGUACACUUAAUUAUUAAAUAUUCGCAUGACAUUUGCCUAAAAACACAAUUAUUUCUUAUUUCUAUUCUGUCCAACGAUGUUUGAUGCACUUGUGUUUUGCAAACUUAAUAUGUGCAUAAGCUUAAAUGUUCAAUUCUGUCCAAAGAUGAUGUGUCACAUUCUUAUUGCACAUACCUUACUUAUAAUUGUUCAUUAUUCUUAAAUAAUUGGUAAUUAACCAAAGUGAAAGCUGAUUGUUUAAGUAGAACCUAAUCUAGUCUAUUAUUUUGAUGUUAUAAUAGAUUUUAUCACAGCUUCAUUAUCAUAAUGGUUCUUACUUAUGCCUGCUUUAGAUCUAAGUUUCCAAAUGUCACUCUAACUUUUUCCUUAGCCUAAGUAUCUUAAUUCGUCGUCUAACCAGCCCCUAAUAUGGAAAUUGAGACCUUGACUGGUGAAAAUCAUUCUUCUUGGAAAGAUUCCUUGAUGCUNNNNNNNNNNNNNNNNNNNNNNNNNNNNNNNNNNNNNNNNNNNNNNNNNNNNNNNNNNNNNNNNNNNNNNNNNNNNNNNNNNNNNNNNNNNNNNNNNNNNNNNNNNNNNNNNNNNNNNNNNNNNNNNNNNNNNNNNNNNNNNNNNNNNNNNNCAAUCAUUAGAGGAGGCAUUCCUGAUUCACCUAACGCUAAGGCUUAUCUAGCUUCUGUGGAGGAACAAUUUCAAGGAACCUCUAAGGCUCAUGCUAGUACUCUUAUCUUGAAGUUGGUGACUACAAAAUAUGACGGGCGCACCGGCAUUCGUGAACACAUCCUGAUGAUGAGCGACAUGGCCCGUAAACUUAAGGGAUUAGCCAUGGAGAUCAGUGAAGGUUUCCUAGUCCACUUCAUUAUGACUUCUCUUCCUUCUGCGUUUGAAGCCUUCAAAGUCAACUAUAAUACUCAGAAGGACAAAUGGUCCAUGAGUGAGUUGAUUGCUAUGACUGUUCAAGAAGAAGAGCGCCUGAAGUUGGAGAAACCAGAUGUUGCUUACCUCGUGGCUGCUGAGUCGAAGAAGCGGAAGGGCAAAUUCCAUAAAAAGGAAUCUAAUAAGGUCCCUAAAACUGAUGCAAGUGCACCCUCCAGCUCUAACAAAUUCACUAGCAAGUUCUACUGCAAGUUCUGCCGCAAGGUAGGACAUAAGCAGUCUGAGUGCUCAAGCUUUAAGGAGUGGUUGGCUAAGAAAGGUAAUCAUCUAAAUAUGAUAAUUGAGUCCUUUAAUUUAAAUGUUCCAACUAAUACUUGGUGGUUUGACUCUGGUUCUAUGGUUCAUGUGACCAAUUCAAUCCAGGGAUUCCUUACAAUCCAGAAGCUGGAAAGAAACCAAAGAACACUUAAGAUGGGGAAUGGACAAGAACUAUUUGUCGAAGCUGUCGGAAUCUUAGAAUUACUUAUGAAAACUGGAAAAUGUAUUAAACUUUAUGAUACCUUAUAUAUUCCCGAAAUUACUCAGAAUCUUGUAUUAGGACCAAAGUUAGACAUUGAUGGUUUUUAUGUUUCCCAUGGUCAUGGCAAACUUACUAUUUCUUUAAAUUCUCAAUUGUUUGGUACUGGUUUUCUGGAUAACGGUCUCUAUAAGUUAGAACUAGAUGAUAACUUCUCCAAAUCUUUGUUAUCAUAUAAUAUUAAUGAGAACUUAACAAAGACCAAGAGAAAACGAGACUUAGAAACUUCAUCCAUGUUGUGGCAUCAACGUUUAGGCCACAUUUCACGAGAUCGCUUAUCUCGACUUGUGAAGGAUGAAGUCUUACCAUCUCUCAAUUUCACUGAUUUUGGAACAUGUGUCAAAUGCCUCAAAGGCAAAAUGACAUCCACGACUAAGAAAGGCAAAAUGACAUCCACGACUAAGAAAAAAAAAUACAAGAAAAAUAUUAAAUAAUGUCAUAGAAAUAGAAAUGGAAGAGAAGUGUAAAGAAAUUUAAAUAAAAAUUAGAUGAGAGAGUAAGUUAGUUUAUAUUGAUUUCUUUAGUGAUUUAAUAACUGUAAAUAAGAAAGAGUAAAUUAUAGUAAUAUUUACUAAGAUUCAAUGAAGUUACACCAAUGUUUCCUUUUUUUAAUAUGUUAUACUUUAAUUUAUAAUAAUCCUGUCCAUUACUAUAAAAAUUUUAAAAAUUACAUAUUUUUCAAAUUAUGCACUAAUAACACGCAUAUAUGGUCAAACAGAAUAAACUAAAGCAAAAAAUUCUCAUUUAAAAUAGCGGCUUUUAUCAUAACGGUCGUUCUAUAUCUUUGAAGAUGGUAUAAAAUGAUGAGUUUUUAGCAUAACUGCCAUUUUAUAUCUUUCAGGAGGAUUUAAAACAACGAUUUUUUAGCAUAAUUGUCGUUUUAUAUCUUUAAAAAAUGCCUAAAAUGAAGACUUUUACCAUAAUCGUUAUUUUAGACUGAAUAUAACACGACGAUUAUAUAACCGUUGUCUUUACUUAAAGAGAAUGGACUUCAUGCUGAAAGACAGCGGUAUAAGAAUCGCUCAUUCAUGCUGAAAGACAGCGGUAUAAGAAUUGCUCAUUUAGUGCUGAAAUGACCGUUGUCAUUUAGCUUUUUUGCACCAAUAAUUAUAAAGUUUAUUUUUAGAGUGGUGGUGAUAAACAUAUAUCGAUGUGAGAAUAAGUUAGUUUAUAUUGAUUUGUAUAGUGAUUUAAUAACUGUAAAAGUCGAAUAAGAAAGAGUAAAUUAAAGUAAUAUUUUCUUAUGUUUAAUGUAAUUUAAACCAAUGUUUUUUUUUUCUAUGUUAUACUUUAACUUAUACUAAUCCUUUCCAUUAUUAUAAACUUUUUAAAAAUUACAUAUUUUUUAUUUUUCAAAUUAUGCACUAACAAUACGAAUAUGCAUGGUCAAUAAUACGCAGUGUAAAUUGUGUAAAUAUAUGAGCUCCCAUUUUAUUUAUUUAUUUUAGUUUGUGUGACAAAUGAACAUUAUUAGUAGCAAAGAAGAGUGAAGAGUGACUAUAAGUAGCGUUACCAUGAGACUAUGUUACUAUAUGAGACUAUGAGGUAAUAUGGCCUGAAAAAUGUUGAAGGAACUUGUCAAAGACUCAUAGACAAAGUCUUCAAGGGGAUUGGCCGGAACAUAAGGGAAAUGGUCGGAACGAUUUACGUGGACGACAAACUCAUGUGCCCAACACAUAAAGAUUUGAAAGAACUCUUUGAAGCUAUUAGGCUAUGAUGUUCAGACACUUCUCUUAAAUGAUGUGUCGGUGGUAGAUACUCAUAUCGGACACCGACAUUCGUAUGACACUUGUAGGACACGUAUUCGUGAAAUGUCCAAUUCAAAAAGUAUUUGUUGGAUUUUUGACAAUUUUAAUACAAUUCUAACAGAAUUUUAAAAAGGAAAAAUACAUUAAUUUUCUAAAAACUCAAACUUAUUGUAUAAAUUUUUAUUAUGAUUAUAAAAAUAAGAAACAAAUCAUUUUGAAGUAGUCAUGAAAAACAUUUUUUUCUCUUUUCUCCAAAAAACAAUCUGUAACAUACUUGUGUACAUAAAUCUUUAUUAUCAAUUUAUAUAAUUUAUAAUUAUAUAAUAUAUAGAUUCGUGUUUUCAUAUCCUACAUUUUAAAUAUUUAUUUUAAAUAUUUUCCGUAUCUUUACGUUUGUGUCCUUGUUUUAUCGGUGUCCGUGUUAUACAGCUCUUAAGUGAAUGAACAUGCGGCUAAAUCCUGAAAAGUUUGCGUUCAGGAAUAUAAGUUAUUGGGUUUAGGGUUUAAUCUCGAGAAAUGUAGGGCGAUAGAGAUAACAAGAUGAUCAAAAAUACAAAAAAAAGAAGAAGAGUAAAAUAGAGUAAACUCCAUUAUGUUAUUAUUUUGGAAAACUUUUCUUCAACAGUCCAAAGUUUGGAGUAAAAAACAAGCAUUUGACAGCUCCUUUUAAUAAUAUAAUAAUAUAUGAGCUCCCAUUUUAUUUUCUGUGACAGAGAAACAUUAUUAGCAGGAAAGAACACUGAGUGAAAGCAGUGUUUUAGUGUCACAGGGAAGGUGGAGUUUGGAGUCUAGAGGAUUUGGUUGAGGACCAAGUUGGCGAGAUUCAAAGCUUCAGAUGUGGUGCCAUCGGAGAGCUUGGAAGCAAAAGACCAAGAGAGGACGUCGUUCGUUUCAACGUUCCCUUUAGUAAUCCCAGUGGUGGCAGAGAACCCAACGCUCACCCACUCGGGAAGAACGCUCUUCAGGUCCACUGUGUCAGAGACGGUGAAGCUUGUUUUCAGAGAAGGGUAAACCAGAGAAGCCACCAAGAGCUUCGUGGAGGACUCAUAGGUGAUAUGAACCUCGGCGUUUUCUCCGUUGACAAAAUCCCACCGCGUCGUUUUGAUAGACUUGAUGGAGUUCACGUCGAUGCCAAUAUGACGCUCUCUGGGGUCCCAGUCCUUGUUGUAGAGGGUGUCGAACUCCACAGCCACAGUAUGGAAAUUGCUGUUGCUGCCGUCGAAAAGACCUAGAAAACCGCCUUUGUCUUUGGGCUGAGAGCCCACGGGGACGAGAGCAAAGGCAAGGCCAUCGGCGGGUCCUGCAUUGUUGGGAACCUGUAUAUUGAAUGUGAAGUUGGUGUCGAAGCUGGCGACGUUGCCGGUGGUGUAGUCCCAGAUUUGGAUGGGGGCGGAGUAGAAGGCGCGGCCCAGAGAGCCCACCGUGGGUUCUCCGUUGCUGUUAACAUUGGUUAGUCGUAACUGGCCGGAGGAUGAGACGGAG